UACGGGGGGGGCAAGCGUUGUCCGGAAUUAUUGGGCGUAAAGAGCUCGUAGGCGGCCUGUUGCGUCCGCUGUGAAAUCCCGGGGCUUAACCCCGGGCGUGCAGUGGAUACGGGCAGGCUGGAGGCAGGCAGGGGAGAACGGAAUUCCCGGUGUAGCGGUGAAAUGCGCAGAUAUCGGGAGGAACACCGGUGGCGAAGGCGGUUCUCUGGGCCUGUACUGACGCUGAGGAGCGAAAGCGUGGGGAGCGAACAGG
rnacentral:rRNA from 1 species